GUCUACGAUCAUACCACCUUUAACAUGCCCGAUCUCCUCUCAUCUCAGAAGCUAAGCAGGGUCGGGCCUGGUUAGUACUUGGAUGGGAGAGAGGGGGAGAGAAAGAUACACACCUGCAGACC
rnacentral:rRNA from 1 species